rnacentral:rRNA from 1 species
GAUGAACGCUGGCGGCGUGCCUAAUACAUGCAAGUCGAGCGAACAGAUGAGGAGCUUGCUCCUCUGACGUUAGCGGCGGACGGGUGAGUAACACGUGGAUAACCUACCUAUAGACUGGGAUAACUUCGGGAAGCCGGAGCUAAUACCGGAUAAUAUAUUGAACCGCAUGGUUCAAUAGUGAAAGACGGUUUUGCUGUCACUUAUAGAUGGAUCCGCGCCGCAUUAGCUAGUUGGUAAGGUAACGGCUUACCAAGGCAACGAUGCGUAGCCGACCUGAGAGGGUGAGCGGCCACACUGGAACUGAGCCACGGUCCAGACUCCUACGGGAGGCAGCAGUAGGGAAUCUUCCGCAAGGGGCGAAAGCCUGACGGAGCAACGCCGCGUGAGUGAUGAAGGUCUUCGGAUCGUAAAACUCUUUUAUUAGGGAAGAAAAAAUGUGUAAGUAACCAUGCACGUCUUGACGGUACCUAAUAAGAAAGCCACGGCUAACUACGUG